rnacentral:rRNA from 1 species
GACGUAGGGCGCAAGCGUUGUCCGGAAUUAUUGGGCGUAAAGAGCUCGUAGGCGGUUUGUCGCGUCUGCUGUGAAAACCUCAGGCUCAACCUGGGGCUUGCAGUGGGUACGGGCAGACUAGAGUGCGGUAGGGGUGACUGGAAUUCCUGGUGUAGCGGUGGAAUGCGCAGAUAUCAGGAGGAACACCGAUGGCGAAGGCAGGUCACUGGGCCGCAACUGACGCUGGAGGAGCGGAAAGCAUGGGGGAGCGAACAGG